GUGACGUUACCUUCAGAAUAAGCACCGGCUAACUCCGUGCCAGCAGCCGCGGUAAUACGGAGGGUCCGAGCGUUAAUCGGAAUUACUGGGCGUAAAGCGUGCGCAGGCGGUUUUGUAAGCCAGAUGUGAAAUCCCCGGGCUCAACCUGGGAAUUGCAUUUGGAACUGCCGAACUAGAGUCUUGCAGAGGGGGGUAGAAUUCCAGGUGUAGCGGUGAAAUGCGUAGAUAUCUGGAGGAACACCGAUGGCGAAGGCGGUCCCCUGGGCCAAGACUGACGUUCAUGCACGAAGGG
rnacentral:rRNA from 1 species